GCUUGAACACUCAAAUAGCUAUAUUCAUUAAUGUUGUAAUUGGGCAAUAUCUUAAUGCAUGAAAAGGACGGUACUCUCCAUCAGGUAUUAUAAACGUGUGUUUGGGAACUAAAGGAGGUUCUUAAUUGCUAAAACACUCACAAGAAUCAACUAUGGCAUUGGCAACUGACGUGUUUGGGGAGCCCGUCACCGAAAAUGUUGUGAUGGGAAUCCCGGAGUAUGCGAACAGGGCACGCCAAAUCAGAGCAGAUGUGGCUAGGCGAUGGAAAGAAAGAGAUGAUAAGUACGAAAAGGCUUUGGGAUACGUGAAGGCGUUGAAAAGUCAAUGGGGCACUGGAGUCUCCACACUCUGCCUGGUUUACAAUGCUACCGGUGAACCAUUGACCUUUGUUACCAGUCAUGAUUGGUUUGGGCACAUUUACCAGACAUACCCACGGGUGAUUGCAAAUGGGCAGUGGGGUGGGUUUUUGCAUGUCAAAACUGCUGGGGCAGCUUCUGGUUCAGAGGCAGCCGUUGUUUAUCGCGGCAAAAAUAAGGAUGGAAGAGCCACUGACUGGCUGCUGGCUUGGGACAACCCUUGGAGGAGAAUUGACCUUGACAACCAGGCGUAUGCUGAGAUCCACGCAGCUGGCUACUUUGAAAGGGUUGACUGGGGGGCAAUUGCCAAAUGCUUAGAAGGGGCUACUUCUCAGCAUUAUGCAGCAUGGGAAGGAUGCAUUGCAUACGUAAAGACGGAAAGUGAUACUUCUCCUCUCUAUGAGGCAGUACUUUCACUUGAAUAAGCUGUUUUUAUUAUAUCUAUAACAUCUAUAAGGGUGAGAAAAUGCCACUACCUCGCAGUAUAACAAUAGUCUUUAGCUUUUUGGUUUAAUGGUUGGGAAAGCUUAAAAGAACAUGCAAGUUGGUAAUGAUUGGAAGAGAAAUUUCAAUUUUUUGUUAUUGGAAUGGUAGCAUCAUUGAAGGAUCAAAUGGCUUGCGUUAUAAUGGUCCUCCUUUGAAAGCAAUUAAAUUGAAGCGAAAAACGAAAUUCAACACAUUGAUAGACAAAAUGUAUUGCAUUCUAGAAUUUGAUAGAGAGUGAGUACAACUAAAUUUGAUUUGUCAAUAUCCAACAAUAGUAAAAUCAUCAAUGAUUAAAUAUAUCUAUGUAUUUAUUGUGGAUGAUGGUA